GUUUCAGAUAAGGUUUAGGCACUCAGAUGUUUAAAGGUUUCUUAAUACCCAGGAUCAUGCCUAUUCCCUUUCACAGUUUGCCUUUGUCAAAUGAUGUGGGCAGAGAUAAGGAAAUAGAUCUCCCAAGGAGCUGAGUUCAUCAGUUUCUCUUGAAGUCAGAUUGAAGAGGCUGCUGUCUAUCCCUGUCUGUAUCCCCUUCUGUAUCCCUCUGGCAUACAGAGUAAUAAUUAAAGAAAAAUUAGUAAUGUGUAUUUAUGGAACAGGCCCCUUUUGCACACAAUGCUUGGCUAGAUGACUGUGAAGAUUAAUCAAGUAAGAAGAGAUUAGCCGACAUCUUUAAUCUAUCAUAAAUCAAACAGACAGGAGAUGAAGCCUCUUAUCGCAAGAAACUAAUGUUACAGAGAGCCUAUGUUAGGGUUUAGCCUACAUCAGUCUCGGUCUAAUCUAAGACAACAUCAGGACUCUGAAGUUGUGCAUUUUUUUAGACUAUUCUUCAAGCCUCUGUGAUCAAAACCAGCGAUGUGAUGGAGGAAAAUGUCAGCUCCAUUAAGGUUGCUUAAAAUAUACUGUGCUGGAGAGGUGACAGCAGACACAGUCUGGAGGAUGAAGGUGAUCAGUGGCAUCCAUGCAAACCAAGAAUGGAAGAUGGUAAUAGAGGAAUAUGUAAUAAUGCUUUUGUUCUAUCGGCAUCAAAACAACACUCGAGCCUUGGGAUGUGCCUCGGUAGCACUGCAAUGUGCAAUGCUUAUUUCAUGCUGCAUAUACCUACUGUUAGUAUUGAUGAGAGCAAUCCUCGUCACCAACAAAUCCACUGAUCCAAGCAGUUGGUUACAGUUGGAGCAGAAGCCCCCAGCUAGCAGUCAUUUUUGGAAAGUCAGGAUUGCCAGCAUCACAGAAGAAUCGAGGACUGGGCUAAUUGGAGGAGAAACAGCUUGCUUGCUGCAGGAAUGCGGGUGUUACUUUCUGGUGAGCAGGGAGUUUCUGCAAUUUGCAAAUCAAAACCAAACAAAAUCAACCAACCAAAUCUCUUCCAGGGCCAUUCUGGAUUUCCUUAGGCUAUAAAAACGUUUAAGCCUCUAAACAUAUCAGACCUGUUUUCCUGCAUUCCACAUCUACAGCUUACCUGUACCCUAAAGAACAUAAAGGAAACAGAUAAGUGUCAAGAAGCCUUCAGUGGUACUUCUUCCAUGGAGAAUGUGUGGAAAAAUGCAAAUGCUGUGCACGUGUGAAAGAGAGGCCAGACUCAAAGCUGUUCCUGAAUGUUGAUCCUUAACACUAUCAGAGUGAUAAACUUCUCCUCUUUGUCAGAAAUGUCACCUUAGAGGUGAAGUGAGUAGCAGCUGUGAGUCACAGUGGCAGUGCAGGCUCUGUCGAUGGGAACUUGUUUUCUCACCGUCUGUUCCAUGAGCUGCCAUCCCCCACAGCUCCUCAGACUGCUGUCUGCACGGACCACGCAGUCAGGACUGAACUCAGCUGGGAGUAGUUUUAUGUGUGCCUACUGAGUGAGGGCUGCGCUUCUGGUUUCUGUUGAAAUCCAAACCCAUUUUGUUAGCUUUUCCUUACAGAAGAACAAGAACGCUUGGCCCUCUGUUGGCUUUGCCCUUUUUCACACAAGCUCUUGACAUAGAAGUUUUCUCCUUUGGUCUCUCAGGUCCUUUACUGUGAAUAAUAAUCCAU
rnacentral:lncRNA from 1 species